GACGAACGCUGGCGGCAUGCUUAACACAUGCAAGUGGAGCGACGAACCUUUUAGGGGCAAAGCCGCGAACGGGUGAGUAACACGUGGGCAACCUGCCUAUAAGACUGGGAUAACUUCGGGAAACCGAGCUAAUACCGGAUAAUUCAUAUCUACUCAUGUAGGUAUGCUGAAAGACGGUUUACGCUGUCACUUAUAGAUGGGCCCGCGGCGCAUUAGCUAGUUGGUGAGGUAACGGCUCACCAAGGCAACGAUGCGUAGCCGACCUGAGAGGGUGAUCGGCCACACUGGGACUGAGACACGGCCCAGACUCCUACGGGUGGCAG
rnacentral:rRNA from 1 species